UCCGGCUUCGCGGAGCCGGGCAAACAUCGCCGCCCGGCCGCCGUCGCGUUUUCCGAGGGGCUGCCGCUCGGUUCCCCGAGUCCCAGCGCGCUUUCGGCCCUCCGGGGCUUUUUUUUUUUUAGCGGGAGCUUCAGUCGCUCCCUGUCCGGUGGGUAGGAGCGAGCGGGAUGGGGCCGCAUUUUUCCGGCCUCGGUGCUGCCGAGACAAGGCUUCUCGUUUUGCAGGCUGAGCGGAGGCUGCAGCGGAGGCUCUCGUCAUCCCGAACCGGUGAGACGGUGGAAGAGGUGAGCAGUCCGGGAAUCACUAGGAGAGGCAGGGAGGCGGUGGAGUUUCUCUUCGGCUCAGAGAACUGGACAGCACGGAGCCCCGCUUUCCUCCUCAGCAAGGUGACAGCUGCCAGCGACUUGAAGGACCUUUUUCCGGAGGAGUCGCAGCGGAUUUGGCGAGGGGAGGCGACGCCGGACCCAGCCGGUAGCCUCGCGCGUGGUCGGGACGGGCGAGAGGAGAGAAGGGCAGCGGCUGUUAGUCGUUAGUCAGCGCGCGAAGCGCAGGAGCGGCAUUGACACCCGCAAGAUGAGAAGCGAGAAGGCUUUUUCGGUGAGAGCGGCGCUGGGGUCGCGGAGUCCCCUUCUCCGGGAACGCAGCGGCACCGGAUGACUUCGUGGCAGGGUGAGGCGCGCUUGUCCGGGAGCGGUUUCACCGGCGGCGAGACGAAGGAGCCGCGAGUCCUGCGUCCGGAGGGCCGCAGGCGCCCCGGGCAUCCCGCCGGCGAGAGUCUCCGGAGCGAGGUGCAGCUUGUUUGGAGAGGAAGGUCCUUGUCCUUGGCUGAGGAGGAAGCAGAGGAGAUGGGCCAGGUAGUACU